AACGCGAAGAACCUUACCUGGGUUUGACAUCCUCGGACAACCGUAGAGAUACGGCUUUUGUAGCAAUACAACCGAGAGACAGGUGCUGCAUGGCUGUCGUCAGCUCGUGUGGUGACAUGUUGGGUUAAGUCCCGCAACGAGCGCAACCCUUGUCCUUAGUUGCCAGCAUUAAGUUGGGCUCUCUAAGGAGACUGCCGUGGUUAACACGGAGGAAGGUGGGGAUGACGUCAAGUCCUCAUGGCCUUUAUAUCCAGGGCGACACACGUGAUACAAUGGACGGUACAGAGGGAAGCGAAACCGCGAGGUGGAGCCAAUCUCAAAAAGCCGUUCUCAGUUCGGAUUGGAGUCUGCAACUCGACUCCAUGAAGUUGGAAUCGCUAGUAAUCGCGGAUCAGCACGCCGCGGUGAAUACGUUCCCGGGCCUUGUA
rnacentral:rRNA from 1 species